GACAAGCAGUUGCACUCAGACACAGCUCACAGCGUUGCCACAGAAUCUCCCCGAGGCAACUGAAGUCCCGACGUAACAGAAUCGUCAUCGAGAUACGAAAAUACAAUAGGAACAGAACUUUACCAAUCUUCUCUUCAAGGUCACUACACAAGAUGAUGGGGACACUUGGAUUUAGUGGAACGUACCCAUAAGCGACCUCUGCCUGAUCCGCGGACGACGAUGUGCCUUGCUUGAUGUUGCCUGGCUUCCGUGUCGGCAAGUACUUGCUACCCUUUAUGCUGCAUUGACACAACCUGGUUUGAGUGAUUCCGAAAGAACCUGAAAAGAUAUAUCGGAAACUCCAUGCUUCCAUUAUAUCAAGUGAGAUAUUGAACAUGAAGGAUGCAUUCGAAUUAUUAGUUUUCGCCGCCACUGUCUUCAACGUCUUCGUGCGGGACCAGCCACAACGGCACCUUAAUGUUUUCCCAAGAAAUCGGGAACUGCAAGUCACAGAGGUCACCAAGAAGCGACAACACGUCACAAGCAGUGAUGCAC